UGGGUGUAUCUGCUAUUUUGUGUGCA
rnacentral:piRNA from 1 species